GGCAGCAGUUCGGUUCUAUAUAAGGGCGGUCGGCUCAUCCUCCAUCUCUUGAAGAGAAAGGGGGUGAGCAUGUGACAGUAUCAGAGGCCUUGCAACUCAUGGUGUCUUUCGGCAUUCUCGUAGUGGCCAUUCUGUCAUCAAACGACAAAAAAAAGUAAGAUCGCCCUUGAUUCCCACACCAAGACGAUCUUACUUUUUAAUUGGGAUCUAAAAAUAGAGCCGACUCCUUUUUAUGGAGCCUCUCUGUUGCUUCCGGGAGAUGUUGCCGCAUCUUCCG
rnacentral:sRNA from 1 species